rnacentral:rRNA from 1 species
AGACAGCAGCAGCCACGGGAAUACGUAGGGUGCAAGCGUUAAUCGGAAUUACUGGGCGUAAAGCGUGCGCAGGCGGUUCGCUAAGACAGAUGUGAAAUCCCCGGGCUUAACCUGGGAACUGCAUUUGUGACUGGCGGGCUAGAGUAUGGCAGAGGGGGGUAGAAUUCCACGUGUAGCAGUGAAAUGCGUAGAGAUGUGGAGGAAUACCGAUGGCGAAGGCAGCCCCCUGGGCCAAUACUGACGCUCAUGCACGAAAGCGUGGGGAGCAACCAGGAUUAGAUACCCCCGUAGUCCCUGUCUCUUAUAC